rnacentral:rRNA from 1 species
ACUCAAAUGAAUUGACGGGGACUUGCACAAGCGGUGGAUUAUGUGGUUUAAUUCGAUGGUAAACGAAGAACCUCACCAGGGUUUGAAACCUACGUGAAAGCUCCGAGAAACCGGAGCCCUCGCAAGACUAGUAGGCAGGUGCUGCAUGGCCGUCGUCAGUUCGUGGUUUGAAUUGUUCCCUUCAGUGGGGUAACGAACGCAACCCUUGUUGUCUGUUAUAAGUAUCAGACGAGACUGCCCCCUCUCGGGGGAGGAAGGUAAGGAUGACGCCAGGUCAGCAUGGCCCUUUGAUACCCUGGGCUACACACAUAAUACAAUCGCCGUUACAACGUGACGCAAUGCCGCAAGGCGGAGCAAAUCAUAAUAAAAACGGCGCCAGUUCGGAUUGAGGUCUGCAACUCGACCUCAUGAAGCCGGAAUCGCUAGUAAUCGCGGGUCAGCUAUACCGCGGUGAAUACGUUCUCAAGUCUUGUACACACCGCCCGU